ACACAUGCAAGUCGAGGGGCAGCAUUUUAGUUUGCUUGCAAACUGAAGAUGGCGACCGGCGCACGGGUGAGUAACACGUAUCCAACCUGCCGAUAACUCUGGAAUAGCCUUUCGAAAGAAAGAUUAAUACCGGAUAGUAUACGAAUAUCGCAUGAUAUUUUUAUUAAAGAAUUUCGGUUAUCGAUGGGGAUGCGUUCCAUUAGUUUGUUGGCGGGGUAACGGCCCACCAAGACUACGAUGGAUAGGGGUUCUGAGAGGAAGGUCCCCCACAUUGGAACUGAGACACGGUCCAAACUCCUACGGGAGGCAGCAGUGAGGAAUAUUGGUCAAUGGGCGAGAGCCUGAACCAGCCAAGUAGCGUGAAGGAUGAAGGCUCUAUGGGUCGUAAACUUCUUUUAUAUGGGAAUAAAGUUUUCCACGUGUGGAAUUUUGUAUGUACCAUAUGAAUAAGGAUCGGCUAACUCCGUGCCAGCAGCCGCGGUAAUACGGAGGAUCCGAGCGUUAUCCGGAUUUAUUGGGUUUAAAGGGAGCGUAGGUGGAUUGUUAAGUCAGUUGUGAGAGUUUGCGGCUCAACCGUAAAAUUGCAGUUGAAACUGGCAGUCUUGAGUACAGUAGAGGUGGGCGGAAUUCGUGGUGUAGCGGUGAAAUGCUUAGAUAUCACGAAGAACUCCGAUUGCGAAGGCAGCUCACUAGACUGUCACUGACACUGAUGCUCGAAAGCGUGGGUAUCAAACAGGAUUAGAUACCCUGGUAGUCCACACAGUAAACGAUGAAUACUCGCUGUUUGCGAUAUACAGUAAGCGGCCAAGCGAAAGCAUUAAGUAUUCCACCUGGGGAGUACGCCGGCA
rnacentral:rRNA from 1 species